rnacentral:rRNA from 1 species
GAUUGAACGCUGGCGGCAGGCCUAACACAUGCAAGUCGAGCGGUAGCACAGAGAGCUUGCUCUCGGGUGACGAGCGGCGGACGGGUGAGUAAUGUCUGGGAAACUGCCUGAUGGAGGGGGAUAACUACUGGAAACGGUAGCUAAUACCGCAUAACGUCGCAAGACCAAAGUGGGGGACCUUCGGGCCUCAUGCCAUCAGAUGUGCCCAGAUGGGAUUAGCUAGUAGGUGGGGUAACGGCUCACCUAGGCGACGAUCCCUAGCUGGUCUGAGAGGAUGACCAGCCACACUGGAACUGAGACACGGUCCAGACUCCUACGGGAGGCAGCAGUGGGGAAUAUUGCACAAUGGGCGCAAGCCUGAUGCAGCCAUGCCGCGUGUGUGAAGAAGGCCUUCGGGUUGUAAAGCACUUUCAGCGGGGAGGAAGGCGAUAAGGUUAAUAACCUUGUCGAUUGACGUUACCCGCAGAAGAAGCACCGGCUAACUCCGUGCCAGCAGCCGCGGUAAUACGGAGGGUGCAAGCGUUAAUCGGAAUUACUGGGCGUAAAGCGCACGCAGGCGGUCUGUCAAGUCGGAUGUGAAAUCCCCGGGCUCAACCUGGGAACUGCAUUCGAAACUGGCAGGCUAGAGUCUUGUAGAGGGGGGUAGAAUUCCAGGUGUAGCGGUGAAAUGCGUAGAGAUCUGGAGGAAUACCGGUGGCGAAGGCGGCCCCCUGGACAAAGACUGACGCUCAGGUGCGAAAGCGUGGGGAGCAAACAGGAUUAGAUACCCUGGUAGUCCACGCCGUAAACGAUGUCGAUUUGGAGGUUGUGCCCUUGAGGCGUGGCUUCCGGAGCUAACGCGUUAAAUCGACCGCCUGGGGAGUACGGCCGCAAGGUUAAAACUCAAAUGAAUUGACGGGGGCCCGCACAAGCGGUGGAGCAUGUGGUUUAAUUCGAUGCAACGCGAAGAACCUUACCUGGUCUUGACAUCCACAGAACUUUCCAGAGAUGGAUUGGUGCCUUCGGGAACUGUGAGACAGGUGCUGCAUGGCUGUCGUCAGCUCGUGUUGUGAAAUGUUGGGUUAAGUCCCGCAACGAGCGCAACCCUUAUCCUUUGUUGCCAGCGGUUAGGCCGGGAACUCAAAGGAGACUGCCAGUGAUAAACUGGAGGAAGGUGGGGAUGACGUCAAGUCAUCAUGGCCCUUACGACCAGGGCUACACACGUGCUACAAUGGCAUAUACAAAGAGAAGCGACCUCGCGAGAGCAAGCGGACCUCAUAAAGUAUGUCGUAGUCCGGAUUGGAGUCUGCAACUCGACUCCAUGAAGUCGGAAUCGCUAGUAAUCGUAGAUCAGAAUGCUACGGUGAAUACGUUCCCGGGCCUUGUACACACCGCCCGUCACACCAUGGGAGUGGGUUGCAAAAGAAGUAGGUAGCUUAA